CCUACGGGGGGCUGCAGUGGGGAAUUUUGCGCAAUGGGGGAAACCCUGACGCAGCAACGCCGCGUGGAGGAUGAAAUAUCUUGGUAUGUAAACUCCUUUCGAUGGGGAAGCGGUACCCAUAGAAGAAGCCCCGGCUAACUUCGUGCCAGCAGCCGCGGUAAUACGAGGGGGGCAAGCGUUGUUCGGAUUUAUUGGGCGUAAAGGGUGCGUAGGCGGUUUGAUAAGUCUGAUGUGAAAUCUAUGGGCUCAACCCAUAGUCUGCAUUAGAAACUGUCGGGCUUGAGUAUGGGAGAGGUGAGUGGAAUUUCCGGUGUAGCGGUGAAAUGCGUAGAUAUCGGAAGGAACACCUGUGGCGAAAGCGGCUCACUGGACCAACUGACGCUGAUGCACGAAAGCUAGGGGAGCAAACAGGAUUAGAUACCCUUGUAGUC
rnacentral:rRNA from 1 species